rnacentral:rRNA from 1 species
ACCUCGGGAAACUGAGGAUAAUGUUUCAUAGUUGAAAAGGCUUGGAAAAGUUUUUCAAUCAAAAGGAUAAGAAAAAUGGUUUUUAUCCGCUAUAGGAUAGGAUCGUGGUCGAUUAUGGUUGUUGGUGAGGUAAUGGCUCACCAAGCCGAUAAUCGAUAGGGGCCGUGAGAGCGGGAGCCCCGAGAUGGGUACUGAGACAACGACCCAGGCCUUACGAGGCGCAGCAGGCGCGAAACCUCCGCAAUACACGAAAGUGUGACGGGGUUACCCAAAGUGUUCAAUUUUGAACUGUGGUAGGUGAGUAAUGUCCCCUACUAGAAAGGAGAGGGCAAGGCUGGUGCCAGCCGCCGCGGUAAAACCAGCUCUUCAAGUGGUCGGGAUAAUUAUUGGGCUUAAAGUGUCCGUAGCCGGUCUAGUAAGUUCCUGGUAAAAUCGGGUAGCUUAACUAUCUGUAUGCUAGGAAUACUGCUAAACUAGAGGGCGGGAGAGGUCUGAGGUACUACAGGGGUAGGGGUGAAAUCUUAUAAUCCUUGUAGGACCACCAGUGGCGAAGGCGUCAGACUGGAACGUGCCUGACGGUGAGGGACGAAAGCCAGGGGAGCGAACCGGAUUAGAUACCCGGGUAGUCCUGGCCGUAAACGAUGCAUACUAGGUGAUGGCAUGGCCAUGAGCCGUGUCAGUGCCGUAGGGAAACCGUUAAGUAUGCCGCCUGGGAAGUACGGUCGCAAGGCUAAAACUUAAAGGAAUUGGCGGGGGAGCACCACAAGGGGUGAAGCCUGCGGUUCAAUUGGAUUCAACGCCGGGAA